rnacentral:rRNA from 1 species
GACGAACGUUGGCGGCGUGCUUAAUACAUGCAAGUCAACUGAAGCAGUGGUAGCAAUAUCGCUGUGGAGGUGGCGCACGGGUGAGUAACACGUAGGUAAUCUGCCUUCAGGUCUGGCAUAACUCCGGGAAACCGGGGCUAAUAGCAGAUGAUGCAGCGGCUCGACAUCGAGACAGUUGUUAAAGCUAUGGCGCCUGAAGAUGAGCCUGCGUCUGAUUAGCUAGUUGGCGGGGUAACGGCCCACCAAGGCAACGAUCAGUAGCUGGUCUGAGAGGAUGAUCAGCCACACUGGAACUGAGACACGGUCCAGACUCCUACGGGAGGCAGCAGUAAGGAAUAUUGCUCAAUGGGAGAAAUCCUGAAGCAGCAACGCCGCGUGAGGGACGAAGGGCUUUUGCUUGUAAACCUCUGUAGGGAGAGAAAAAAAUCCCAAUCUUUGGGACAUGAUGGUAUCUCAAAAGUAAGCCCCGGCUAACUACGUG